GUGUUUGCACAGUGGCAGUAUCAUAGCCAAUGAGGCCAACCUGCAGUGCGAUUAUUGCUAGUUGAAAACUUUUCCCACUACCUUGCCGUGAUGACUUGAAAUACAGUUGGCACUGACAAUUUUUGAUGGUCUCCACGGAGA
rnacentral:snRNA from 1 species